GACGAACGCUGGCGGCGUGCCUAAUACAUGCAAGUAGAACGCUGAAGGAGGAGCUUGCUUCUCUGGAUGAGUUGCGAACGGGUGAGUAACGCGUAGGUAACCUGCCUGGUAGCGGGGGAUAACUAUUGGAAACGAUAGCUAAUACCGCAUAAGAGUAGAUGUUGCAUGACAUUUGCUUAAAAGGUGCAAUUGCAUCACUACCAGAUGGACCUGCGUUGUAUUAGCUAGUUCGUGGGGUAACGGCUCACCAAGGCGACGAUACAUAGCCGACCUGAGAGGGUGAUCGGCCACACUGGGACUGAGACACGGCCCAGACUCCUACGGGAGGCAGCAGUAGGGAAUCUUCGGCAAGGGACGGAAGUCUGACCGAGCAACGCCGCGUGAGUGAAGAAGGUUUUCGGAUCGUAAAGCUCUGUUGUAAGAGAAGAACGAGUGUGAGAGUGGAAAGUUCACACUGUGACGGUAUCUUACCAGAAAGGGACGGCUAACUACGUG
rnacentral:rRNA from 1 species